UGGGGAAUUUUGCACAAUGGGGGAAACCCUGAUGCAGCGACGCCGCGUGAUUUAGAAGGCCUUCGGGUUGUAAAAAUCUCUUCUAUGGGAAGAAAAUGACAGUACCAUAGGAAUAAGGACCGGCUAAUUACGUGCCAGCAGCCGCGGUAAUACGUAAGGUCCGAGCGUUGUCCGGAAUCAUUGGGCGUAAAGGGUACGUAGGCAGGUAAGCAAGUUAGAAGUGAAAUCCUAUAGCUCAACUAUAGUAAGCUUUUAAAACUGCUCAUCUUGAGGUAUGGAAGGGAAAGUGGAAUUCCUAGUGUAGCGGUGAAAUGCGCAGAUAUUAGGAGGAAUACCGGUGACGAAGACGACUUUCUGGCCAUAACCUGACGCUGAGGUACGAAAGCGUGGGUAGCAAACAGG
rnacentral:rRNA from 1 species